rnacentral:rRNA from 1 species
GAUGAACGCUGGCGGCGUGCCUAAUACAUGCAAGUAGAACGCUGAAGGAAGAGCUUGCUCUUCUGGAUGUGUUGCGAACGGGUGAGUAACGCGUAGGUAACCCUCCCGGUAGCGGGGGAUAACUAUUGGAAACGCUAGCUAAUACCGCAUGACAACAGUUAUUGCAUGAUAUCUGUUUAAAAGGACCAAUUUCUCCACUACUAGAUGUACCUGCGUUGUAUUAUCUAGUUUGUGUGGUAACGGCUCUACAAGGCGACGAUACAUAGCCGACCUCAGAGGGUGAUCGGCCACACUGGGACUGAGACACCGCCCAGACUCCUACGGGAGGCAGCAGUAAGGGAACUUCGGGAAAGGACGGAAGUCUGACCGAGGAAAGCCGCGUGAGUGAAGGAGGUUUUCGGAAUGUAAAACUCUGGUGAAAGGGGAGAACGAAUGUGGGAAUGAAAAAUGCACGCUGUGACGGUAUCUAACCAGAAAGGGACGGCUAACUACGUG